CACGAAAGUAUGACACAGAGAGGACACAUUUAUUUGAGCCCGUCAAAUUAAGUGCCAGCCGACGCGGUUAGACUUAAGGGCUGGUCUUUAUAAGUAAAAAGGCGUAAAGGAUGUGUAGGCCAAGAAAUUAUCAAAGAAGGUAAAUGGAAUUUUUCUGGAGCGGUAGAAUGUGAGGAUAGAAAAUAGAACACCUAAGGUUAAAACUAUUUACCACAAAAUAGGCUGAAACAUGAAAGUGUGGGGAGCAAACAGGAUUAGAGACCCUGGUAGUCCACACUGUGAACUCUGAAGAUGAUGCUUAGCAGACCCGAAAGGUAAAAUCUUCCGCCUGAGUAGUACGAUCGCAAGAUUAAAAUUCAAAAACUUUGGCUGUUCACUAUUUCGAUUAGAGGAGCGUGUAGUUUAAUUCGAUGGUCCGCGUGUUACCUUACCUCAGCUUGAAUCUAUGACCGGUAUUGCAUGGCCGUCGUAAGUCCGUGUGUUAAGCUAGAAGGGACCCAAUCCGGGCGUUUGCCCGAAGGAAGUCAGGUCUUAUGAUCCGAAUGUUGAGGGAUUAUAUGCGCUACAUUUUCUUAUAUAAUGAGAGACUUGAAAGGUAAGCCUCUAAAGUAAGAGUUCGGAAGGUCGCUGUAAAACGACUGGAAGUUGGAUUUAAUAGUAAUCGGAAAGUAGAGCGUUCCGGUGAAUUGGUACAAGUGUUAGCACAAAUUGCCCGUCACCUUUACCUAGGAUGGUUAUUCGGACGCCUUCGGUGGUUACGAAUGCCUACGAGGUAAAGCAAGUCGUAACAUAGU
rnacentral:rRNA from 1 species